rnacentral:sRNA from 1 species
CCUUCACGUCAUUGGCUGUUAAAAAUAGAUUCAGUUGGCGAACUUCUUUCAAAGCUUGCAGAACCGGUUUUUCAACCUACGCCUGGAUUGCCAUGAGUCGAUCAGACUUCCAAAAUAGUAGCACUGUAAAGGUAUUCAUAUCUGGAGUCAUUGAAUAUAUUGUCAUACCUGACUUCACAAGGAUUUUAAAGCGCAGAAGAGGACAGGGUUCCUCGUUUAUCAGGAUGUGGAACUCAAACCAUUUGAUGGUGCUUUUACUACUGGUGGUGCUAACAACACACACAGUGAAAUCCCAAGAGCCAUGUACCAGAAGCGCAGGCUUCACGGACCCGAACAUUGCUGGUGCAGUGUAUGAAUCCAGUGUAUUAGAAUUUGACCCGAAUUCCGCUCUCUACAGAACGGACACUACAAUCGAAGGAAUCAAUGGAGGAACUGUUACUGGCUCGGGAGUUACUCUAACUAUCGCCCGUACACAGGCCACACCAAGUUCAGUGAAUUUAAAUGAUCUGAUUGAACUGGUAACAGAGAUUGUGCCUAGUUCGCCCUUCGGAAGGCGGACUUACAUUCGAUUAAAGAAAGAAAUCGACAGAGAUGGAACUUCAUUCACAGCUGUUGAUGACCUGGACACAAUUGAAUUUGAAAUAUCGUGUGUGUCUCUGAAAAGUCCCACAGAAACCAAAUAUUUCCUUGUGCAACUGGAGAUUCGAGACAUCAACGAUAAUCCGCCCAUCUUUGUUAAUGCUCCGUACACAGCUUCAGUUGAUGAGUCAGCUCCUGUUGGAACCACAGUGUAUUCUGGGAUAUCAGCAACAGAUUUGGAUGCAGGAUCAAACAAAGAGAUAGAAUUUGCCAUAGUUGCUGGAGAUGGUAGUAUUAAUGAUGGUUCCACCAGAUUUCUACUCCCCAUAACAUCACGAGGAGAAAUCGUUGUCAGACAACCAUUAGAUUUUGAGUCUGUUCAGUCAUAUACUCUUACAAUAUCUGCAACUGACAAAGCCAGUAAUCCUGCUGACAGAAGACAAGCUACCACCACCAUAACAAUCAGUGUCAAUGAUGUCGAUGAUCUGGGACCCAAGUUUGUGUAUGCCGGGUGUGUUGAGGUGGACAAUGUCUGUUUUAACCCAACUUAUUCCACUAGUGUGACAUCUGGAUCGACAGGUAGUACACUUGUAUUUAAUCCUGUACCACCAAAUUCUGGUAAUCCAAAUGCUGUUGUGAAUAUUGUGGCAGAAGACAGGGAUACUCUCAAUGCACCUAUCAGCUUUACUAUACAACAAACUCUUCCAACUGGCUACCAGAAUAGGUUCCAGGUUACCACUCAACAAGUGUCAGGUUCAGCUAACCAGUACCAAGCUAUUGUAACCCAGACCAGUCCCUUGGAUCGAUCCCAGGUUCCUGAGCUCGAACUCUUCAUUGAGGCUCGAGAAACUCUGACUAACAGAUAUUCCAAUAGAGCGACAAUAAAGAUGACUAUUGCUGCAGCCAAUAACAAUAACCCAGUGCUCACUGUGCCAUUCCAAGGAUUCAUCUAUGAAAAUUCUCCCGUAGGAACAAUACCAAGGAAUAGUGACGGAUCUAAUCUGUUGAAAAUCUCAGUCACUGAUGCAGAUCUGAUAUCUGGUGAGAUUGGAACAUACACCUACACAGUUAGUGGAACGUCGCUGUUUCGAGUUAACAGUGAAGGAUACGUGGAAGCUGCAGCAUCUAUUAACUAUGAAACUAAUCCUGUUGUCACUUUUACGGUGACAGGAACUGAAGUAGGAACACAAAACCCAAGAAGUGGAAGUGUACAAGUCACUGUCAAUGUCAGAGAUCUGAAUGACAAUUCUCCUGUGUUUGAGGCACCAAGGUAUACUGACACAAUUGUUGAAGGGGACUACACUACCAGCAACCAAGUUCUUUUGGAUGUCAAAGCUACAGAUGACGAUAGUGGUGCCUUUGGUGAUAUUGCAUAUACCAUACAAAGUGUUUCAAACAAUGGGGCUUCCAAGUUCACCAUUCAGCCAAGCUCACAACAAGGACAGGCCACAAUCAGCUGUGUGGGGGCUGUUGCAGAAGGGGAAAUCUAUGUCAUUAUGGUCCAAGCAACAGACCAAGGACAGCCUAUUGCAGAAAGAAGGAGUACCUCAGUACCUGUAGAAGUGACCGUGACCCCAUUGGGAACACGUCCUCCUGUCAUUGAUGCUGCCGCCUUUACAAUCUCUGUCAGUGAGGCAGUACCAAUAGGCUCUUCUUUGUGGACAGUUCCAGCCAGAGAUCCAGAGGGCCUACCUCUAACCUUUACAAUAACUGCUGGAAAUGUUAACAGUGAUUUCAUAAUCAAUUCAACAACAGGUGAACUAAGAACAGCAAGACGUUUGAAUAGGGAAGGAACACCUCAAUAUACGCUAAAUAUUCAAGUUCAGGAUCAAUCAGGAUUGACUGCACAGACAACACUUACAAUUAUUGUACAAGAUGUCAACGAUAACAACCCUGUUUUUACACCAACAUCCUACACGUUUAGUGUGUUUGAGGGCAGAACAAAUGAACCUGUAGGAACUGUUACGGCAACAGAUUCAGACACAGGAGCUAAUGCCCUUGUAAAUUAUCAGAUAUCACCAUAUUCAUCAACUGACUCUGCAAAUUUAUUUUUCAUCACUUCGACUGGAGCCAUCACAACAGCAACGGCAUUGGACUAUGAAGUUAAGCAAAGACACGUCAUUCUGGUGCUGGGCACCGAUGGAGGUGUUAGCAGCCGGACAGGAACUGCCACCGUCACCAUCAAUGUUCAGGAUGUGCAGGACGUGAUUCCGUUGUUUACAGAGACCAACAUAGAACGCUCUAUUCCAGAGAGACAGCCAACUGGGACAUCUGUGGCUCAAGUCUUGGCCAUAGAUCAGGACACAGUUGAUAGCAUCACUUACAAAUUCAGUACAGGAGAUUUCACUGUUUUCAAUAUAAACUCAAACAGUGGCGUUAUUACAAACAACCAGCUUCUGCAAUAUGAGACAAGGAGCCGCUACGUGUUCACAGUGACAACAGCCGAGGGAGAGUCAUCUAAUGCUCUCUCUGCAACAGCAACAGUCACUAUCAACAUACAGGACAUCAACAAUUACCCUCCAGUGAUUCAGGCUGUGCCAUCCAAUUUGCAAUUCCUGGAGAACAUCCCGGUGGGAACGGAGCUUUUGUCCAGUAUCACUGUGACAGAUGCUGAUGCUCAGAAUACUGCCAACAGUCGGGUAACAUUCAGAAUUACCUCGGUAACUUCUAGUGCAACAGUUCAAAACCCGAACUUACAACAGUGGUUCUACAUCAACCCUGAAACUGGAAAAAUAACCCUUGCGAGGUCAUUUCAACAAGAUCCAGGGGUUACCAGUUACAAUAUUAAUGUCAACGUACAAGAUGGCGGAGUGCCACCUUUAUCUGCCUCCACCACAGUUACAAUUACAGUGAUCAGAAACACUGCUCCAAUUUUCCCUGCUCCCAAAACAACCACAGUCACCAUUCCUAACACCCGAAACAGUGGCUCUGAAGUCAUCACCUACACCGCUACAGACAAUGAUGCCAGGCCUGAGUUUAACCAGGUGACCUACUCCAUGGUAACUGACACAACAGCAGCCUCCCUGUUCAGACUGGAACCAACAAGUGGUAGGAUCACUCUGAUCAGCAGCCUUACAGCUGAUGAUGCCCCGCAGUAUCUGUUGACAAUCACAGCAACAGACAAUGGUGGUUUGUCGGACACAGGGACAGUGACUGUGAGUGUGAGCCGCAAUCUGAAUGACCCUCAGUGGCUCCCCACAGGAGGACCUUAUAGCGCCACAGUCAAUGAGACCGAAAAUAGACCAGUCUUAGAGACGGUGUACACCCUGUCUACACAAGACUUGGAUGUUCAGGAACCAUUCAACACCAGGAUCUAUAGUAUUUUAUCAACUAGCAGUGCUGCCCAACAUUUUCAAAUUUCAAGUCAGGGAAAUGUUCAGAUUAUCAGAUCACUGGCCAUUGACCGUGCCGUCAACCAAUAUGUGCUGACCAUACAGCUAAGGGAUGGUGGAAAUAGAGUGGCUGCCCAGCAGUUUACAUUGACUGUGAAUGUCAUCAGAAAUACAAACCCACCAGUCUUCUUUGACACUUCUUAUUACCAAGAAAUCGAAGAAACACUGCCUGUGGGGACCAGUAUUUUACGAGUGCAGGCCAGUGAUCAAGAUCCAGAGCUUCAGUUCAGAACCAUAACUUACACACUGUUAGCCAACACUGCUGGAAACAAUCUGUUUUCGAUGGAGCAAGGAACUGGUAUCAUCAGAGUGAAGAGUGCAUUAACUGGUGAUCCUACUGUAACAUUUAAUAUGGUGGCAGUUGCUACAGAUGGUGGCAGCCCAUCCCAAUCAGCCAACGCAAUGGUUACAAUCAAAGUCAAUCGCAAUCGCAACACUCCAGUGUGGAAUUCUCUUAAUUACCAGGCCACCAUUUUAGAAACCCAGACUGUGGCGUUACCUUUAACCCUGAGUCCCACAGGUCUCUCUGCUUCAGACAGUGAUGCUCAGCCACCCAACAAUGUGGUCAAUUACCGCUUGACAGCUGUUGUUGCCAGGAGUGGGUCUACUGUCUAUGCCAAUGAGCAAGGCAACUUUGCAGUCAGUAGCACUGGGCAGGUGACAGUGAGAAGUCCUUUAAUUGGGCUCACUGCCACGGAGUAUUUGCUGUAUGUGGAAGCUUACGAUUUGGGAGAUCCCUCCAGAGUUGGUUCUAGUAACGCUACUGUCACCAUCAAUGUACAAAGGAAUAGAGCACCUGUUUUUGCGCAAACAUCUUAUACCUUCGAAAUGAAUGAAGAUGCAACUGUUAAUCCUCAGACUUUAGUUGGACAAGUUUUGGCCAAUGACCCAGAUAAUGGAAUCCCAGAGUUUAAUACACUUUCUUAUGCCAUUGAAAAUAUUGGUAUCGGAUCGCCAAAUGCCUAUCUUGCUAUAGAUUCUAAUGGUCGCAUUACCUUGCAAAAUAUUGUUAGUGGUAUACAGGACAAAGAAUUCAGGUUUUUGGUUCGUGUCUCAGACAAUGGAGUACCUUCAUUAACUGAUGAGGCUGUGGUCACUGUAAACAUCAAAAGAAACUUGUGGACCCCUGCCUUCAAUCCACUGAAUUAUGCUGUCACUAUUCAGGAAACACUUCCGGCGGGAUCAGAAAUUGGAGUAACUGUUGCAGCAACAGAUCAAGAUUUAAGUGCACCAAAUAAUCAAGUCGUGUAUUCAGCUAAUGGAGACCAGAGCGCCAUUCAGUACUUUGAUAUAGAUGAAACGUCUGGAAGAGUCUUGGUUAAACAACCUUUGUAUACAGGGACUUCUUCUCAAUACAUUCUGACUGUUAAAGUAGCUGAUAGAGCAACACCACCGCUUGAAUCUCAGCAAACCGCCUCGGUGACCAUAACUGUCGAGCGAAACCAGUUUCCUCCAGUUUUCCGGAAUCUGCCCACAACUCGAUCUCUUCCUCGCACUGCAGGAUUUGGUUUCAAUGUCUACACUGUCUUUGCUAAUGAUAGCGAUAUUAGGUCUCCCUUUAAUGUUGUUUCCUACUCCCUUGUGUCAGGAACAAACCAGUUCCAAAUUGAUCAAACAACAGGCCAGAUAACUUUACAGACAAACUCUCUCACACAAGCGGAGUAUGUUUUGACUGUUGAAGCCAGAGAUGGAGCAGACAUUCCAAGGAGAAGCUACUCCACACUGACUCUCACAGUAGACAGUAACUUGGAGAAACCUGCCUGGGUCAACCCUGGAGCAUCCUCGUCAUACGAAGCCACUGUCACAAUAUACGAGACACAUGAUUAUGUUACAUCGGUUUUUCCAUUCUCAGCUAAUGAUUUAGACAGUGUGAGCCCAUACAACACAGUCCGAUAUGUUGUGGAAGGGAAUGGAAAUGCCCCAAAUUUCUUCACUGUGGCUGACAAUGGACAAACAUUCCUCAAAACAUCUCUGCUGCAAAGAACAGAAAUCCAGUUCGUGUUGUUGGUGAGAGCAGAGGAUGGAGGAAACCCCCCUCGUCAGGCAGACAACAAAGCAAGACUUACCAUAAAUGUCAUAAGAAACAACAAUGCUCCACAAUGGCAGAACCCCAUGACAACAACUCUGGUCUCCCAACAAGCAGGAGUCGGCCAGACCGUGGGAAAUGCACUGUUAGCCACAGAUUCUGACACUUUCUUUAACGUUGUGAGAUACGAGAUCAUUGGAGAUGGGGAUUCCACUGCCUUCUUUACAAUCGCCAACCCAGCUAAUGGGCAGAUCACUGUGGCUAACUCUCUGGCAUCAUCCUCUGACCUAGUGUAUUAUAUCCGAGUACGAGCCUAUGACAAUGGUGUGCCAGCAAAGGACAAUGUGACUGUAGUCACUGUGACGGUAGAGAGGAACAACUUUGCACCAGAGAUUACCUCCCCUACUGUUAGUGAAAGAAUUCCAGAAACUCAGGAUCUGGGUGUAACUAUAGCAACAGUUACAGCUACAGACAGGGACACCCAGUCACCUCACAAUGUGAUCAGAUUCCGGAUGUUUGCUCCAACGCCGGCCUCAAAUUACUUUGGAAUUGACAGCCAGACUGGAAAUAUCUUUGUCAAGAGAGACCUGACUUUAGAUACUUCGAACAGAUAUCUGAUGUAUGUACAAGCCUAUGAUAUGGGAUCUCCCUCCAAGACAUCAGCUACAAAUGCCACAGUGACAAUAGAUAUAUUCAGGAACUUACGAGACCCCUUCUUCAGUGGGGGACCAUUUGCUGCCACCAUUCCUGAGACUUCUGUCAUUGGAACUUCUGUACUACAAAUCAACUUUGGUGACAGUGACACUGACGCACCAUUCAACACAGUGACUGUAUCUGCCAUUGGAGAUGACAAAGCCCUGACUUAUUUCAGACUUGAAAGUAAUGGAGAAAUUAAUGUAAACAGUGAUCUGAAAGCAGACUCGGACACUCAAUAUCUGAUGAGAAUUUUGGCUCAAGAUGGUGGAUCUCCUCCAAGAACAGCAACCACGGUAGCUACCAUAACAGUGCAGCGCAACAUCAAUAGUCCAGUAUUUGAGAGACAGUCUUAUAAUGAGACAAUUCUGGAAACACGACAACUUGGUCUUUCAUUCCUGCAAGUAAAAGCAACAGAUGGAGAUACAAGGGCACCAUACAAUGAAGUUCGAUACUUUAUGAGCACAGAUGCAGGAAGUACUUUGGGAGCCCAGUAUUUCAUGGUGGAUGAUGUCACUGGAGACAUCAGUCUUCGCCAGUCUCCCAUGCUUGAUAAUGCUAGAACUGUUGAUUACACUUUUACUGUGAAUGCUGUAGACAGAGGUGGUAGCUCGGCAACACUACCUGCUAGCGUUCGAGUGACAGUGAUUCGAAACACCAACACUCCAGUUUUUACCAAUCUGCCCAAUGCCAAUCAGAUCAACCAUAAUACCUCAAUAGGAACCCAAGUCUUCCCAGUGUCGGCUAGAGAUCCAGAUCCUGGUGUGUUUGGACAGCUCACAUACAGUCUUACAGGGGAUGGAGAAUCCACCAGUGUUUUCGACAUUAACCGAACCUCAGGGGUCAUAACUCUGCAGCAGUCACUGUUCUCUCAAACUUCUACCCUUUAUACGUUGAGAGUACGUGUCCAGGAUGGGGGCAGUCCCAGGAAGGAAGCUAUGAACACCCUGACAUUGACUGUUCAACGAAAUUUUGAAACUCCCCGCUUUGUCUCAAACAGUUAUACAUUCACAAUCAAGGAAAAUGAACCAAUCGGAUUUAGUGUUGGACAAAUAGUUGCGACAGAUGCUGACUCAGCUCCACCAAACAAUUUGGUAGAGUACUACUUCGUAGGGUCGACACCAUCACAGAGGUUUUUAAUUGAUUCUAGGACGGGAGUUAUUACCAUUAGAAAGGACCUGACCACCGAGGAAACCCCAUCUUCUUAUACUUUCCGGGUUCAAGCAAGAGAUUCGGGUUCACCACAGAGACUUAGUCAGGAAAUCCCACUGACCAUUAAUGUUCAACGAAAUGACUAUGACCCAUUGUUUGGCAACUUGCCAUUCAGUGUGACAAUACCAGCAAAUGCUAAUCAAUUUUCAACUGUUUACACUGUAAACUCAACUGAUGCAGACACUGUGCUUGAUUUCCAACGCCGAGAAUAUGAUAUCAUAGGAGAUGAUGCUGCCACAAGUUUGUUUGCUGUGGACGCAACAGCUGGUCGAAUUACAAUAAGUUCUCUGUUGACUUCAGAUCCAGCUGUACAAUAUAGGGUUAGAGUGCGUGUAAGAGACUUCGGAACUCCUAGACGCUCAUCAACAAGCCUGCUUCUAGUCAAUGUGACCAGAAAUCUGAAUGCUCCACAAUUCAAUCCAACUCAAUACUUUGCCACUAUCUUAGAAACCCAGCCCUUGGGGUCCAGCAUACAACAAGUGUCCUCUAGCGACCUUGACACAACGGCACCAAAUAAUGUACCUACAUAUACAUUGAGUGGAAAUGCUUUAGCACUCCAGUAUUUCCAAGUCAAUCCAAGUACAGGAGUCGUCUCCCUUUAUAAGGAUCUACGAGACGAUACAGCAACUUCUUACACUCUCACGUUGACUGUAGCUGACAAUGGUUCCCCAUCACUUGCUGGAACAAACACAGCCACAGUGACAGUGCAGGUCAACAGGAAUCUACAGCCCCCACGCUUUAUCAAUGCUCCCUACAGUUCCACCAUAACAAGGCUUGUUACAGACAACACUCUUUUGCCUGGAGUGACAGUUUCUACGGCUGAUGAUGAUACUGUGAGUCCAUUUAGAGAUGUUACAGUGAGCGUGAUUGGGGACGAUUCAGCAGCGAGCCUGUUUGAGUUAGCGGGAUCAAGUGUUCGUGUUCGAAAUGCAGCAAAUUUAGCAGCAGACACAGCUAACACAUACAAGCUUCGGCUGUUGGCAGAGGAUGGAGGUUCUCCAAAGAAAACUGCUACUACAACCAUAGAUAUCACUGUGAGAAGAAAUAUGGUGCCCCCACAGUUUAACCCUACAGCAUAUAACGCAACAAUCCUGGAGAACUACCCUGUCGGAAGUGAAAUUGUGACAGUGUCUGCCACAGACUCAGACCCACAGCCCCCAAACAACCAGUUUAAAUACAGUAUAACGGGUGAUACAACUGCUAUGACCUACUUCUACAUCAAUCCAGACUCGGGGCGCAUUUCUCUCAAACAGUCCAUCAAAGGAACUGGAGUUAACCAAUUCAGAUUACAAGUGACCGCUACAGACGAAGGAACGCCACCUCUGAGCGGACAAGCCAUUGUGACUGUGGAUGUAACCAUUGAUGACACACUGAGGUUCACACAACUCCAACCAUACAUUGCCAGCAUUGAUGAGAACGACCCUGUAGAUAGAGGGUUUAUUACAGUUAUAGCCACACCCCAGCCGAAUAUCAAAUACUCCAUUGUUGGCUUCAGUGAUAGUCCUGAUUACUUUAAAAUUGAUGAGAACACAGGCGUUAUAUCUGUAAAAACUGAUCUUCGAAGUGACCUAUCCAAGAGAACUACAUAUUUGAUUCAAGUAAGAGCAGAAAAACAGUUUCCUAAUGGACUUCAGUCUGUAGAGAAUCUGGUCAAUGUUACGGUUCUGAGAAAUAUCAACCCACCUGUGUUCAACUCCACUCAGUACCAAGCUAACAUCAAUGAAAAGUAUGGCCUUGGACAGUCAGUGGUGCAGGUGUUUGCCACAGAUCUUGAUACUCAGGAUGUUCUCCUCUACUCCAUCAUUGAUCAGGCUGGGGAGACGGAACCAUUUUACAUGGCUCCUAGCACAGGAAUUAUCACCUUAAAGCAGCUACUGACCGGCACAACUAAAACAAGAUAUGCUUUUACGGUGCAAGUUAGGGAUCAGUCCAAACCAGAGAAAUUUGGGCAGUCAGCUGUUGUCAUCAACGUGAGAAGGAACAGCCAGUCUCCUGUCUUUGAGAGAACACCUUAUGGUGCACCCAUUAACUACAACCAGGCUCCAGGACCUGUGUAUACUACCUCUGCAAGAGAUCCUGACUUAACGGGUACCUUGACGUAUGAAGUAAUUGGAUACUUCUCCGCUCCAGGUUACUUCACUGUCAAUUCCAAUGGAGAGGUCGUUCUGCUGUCUAGUUUAGCCAGUGAUACAGCUCAAUCUUACACGCUUGGUUUGGCGGCUUAUGAUAGUGAUUAUCCCAAUGAUAAGGCGUAUGCAAAUGUUACAAUUACUGUCAACCGUAACCCCAAUGCUCCGGAUUUCACCAACCCAUCCUACAGUAUAACUGUCAAUGAAAGUUACCCUCUGGCAGUUAGUCUGCUACAAGUCUCAGGCCAGGAUGCAGAUCAGCAUGUUGUUGAGUACAUUCUGGAAUCCAGCAAUCCUAUAGAUGGCACUCAGUUCUUUUAUUUGAACCCAUCCACUGGUGUACUGACUGUAUCCAGACCUCUCACUGAGACAGGGACACAGACUUUCACUCUUCAAGUUCGUUUGAGGGAUAAUGGAAUUCCUGCGAGAUCAUCUGCAACAACUGCCCCAGUAACUAUAUUUAUCACAAGGAAUAACAACGGUCCUAUAUUUGCUGGCACUUUUACCACAAAUAUAAAUGAGACAACACCAACAAACACAGCUGUGCUCACAGUGGCAGCUACUGAUAGUGAUCCUAAUACAUCACCCUAUGGACAACUGAGAUAUCGUGUAAUAGGAGAUGGAGAUUUCACUCAAUUCUUCGAUAUCAAUCCAACAACAGGAAGUAUAUCAGUUCAACGCCCAUUAAACUCCCAAGACGUUGCUCUUUAUCAGGGAAGAAUUGUGGCAGAGGAUGGAGGCUCCCCUCCCAGAUCAGCUACUGCCACUGCUAUUAUCAACAUCCUGAGGAACCUGAAUGACCCGGUCUUCAAUCCCAAAUCUUACACAGCCACUAUUUAUGAAACUCAUCAAGUUGGAGAUGAUAUUGUUACUGUAACAGCCACUGAUGCAGACCAAAUUCGACCAAAUAAUGAAAUAAUUUUUGAGAUGACUGAUACCACACCCAAUCUGAAUAAUGCAGGCUUAAACUACUUCAGUAUCCGCACGGAGAACAACAGAGGCUUGAUCUCCAUCACUCUACCUCUAUACACAGACAAUCUGAACACUGCAGUCUACACGUUCUCUGUCCGGGCUCGUGACAACGGAAGUCCUACACGGUUCGCAGUGGACGCAGCAACAGUGACCAUCAAUGUGAACAGAAACUUGUUUCCCCCAAUAUUCCAAGGUGAACCUUACACUGCAUCUCUAAACUUCAACAGUCCAAGUGGGUCUACAGUGCGACAAGUCAACGCAACAGAUGCUGAUGCUCAGAGUCCACAUAACACUGUGACCUAUUCCAUUAUUGGAGAUGGCACAGCACAGACAUUGUUCAGUAUCAAUCCUGCUACCGGUUUGAUCACCACUAGGCAAAGUCUGCAGAAUAAUAAUGUGGAACGAUCCUCGAUUUUGGUCAUGGCCAGAGAUGGAGGCACACCCAGUCUAACUGCUACAUCCACAGUAUUAGUGACGAUAGCCAGAAACCUUAACGCUCCUGAGUGGACCCUUUCCGCUUACACUGUAAAUAUUACAGAGACCCAAGACUUGGGAACCCCCAUUGCCGCCUUGGGUACAAGAGAUGAUGAUGUAGAGGCUCCUUACAACACAAGGAUCACAACUUUAACUGGAGAUACAAACAUGAUGCAAUUUUUCUCACUGUCUGAGAAUGGACAAUUGUCGGUUAAGAAACAAUUGACAAGUACUAAUAUCAGAACAUUUACGGGAACUGUCUCUCUAAGAGAUGGUGGUAAUCCUCCACUGACCCCAACAGGAGUAGAAACGGCCACCAUUACUGUGUAUGUGACCAAAAAUGACCACACCCCAUACUUCAUCAAUGAACCUUACUCUAAGGAUCUGGAGGGCACCAUCCAACUAGGUGCAAGUGUUUUCCAGGUCACAGCCAGAGAUGAUGACCGUGGGCUCUUUGGUUUGGUUCGGUAUAAAAUCACUGGAGAUGACUUGGCUCCAAAUUAUUUCCAAAUAGUGGACAGUGGUUUGAUCUCCAUCAAAAAUGUGUUGAGCGGUGUGAAUCAAAAUCAAUUCAAGGUGAGAGUGGAGGCUUUUGAUGGAGGAAGUCCCAGCAAAACCAAUGUUUCUGUGGUGACUUUAACGGUGAAAAGCAACUAUCAGCGUCCUAUCUUCAACUUGCCAUCAUACUUUGCACGUAUCCCAGAAACACAGAGUCUGGGUCAACGAAUCAUUGCAGUCACCGCAAAUGAUAGUGAUGCACUGGCACCAAACAAUGUUGUGAGGUACUCUCUGACAGAAGGAGCUGAUGACAUUGAGUGUUUCCUGAUAGAUGCCCAAACAGGCAGCCUGUCUUUGAGGCGAUCCCUUCUCUAUGCUCCUUGCACUGGCAGUAGAUACCAGAUGACCGUCACUGCCACGGAUCUAGGUUUGAAUCCUCUCUCCAACACUAUAACUGUUACUGUGGAUGUUGAUCGCAAUGCCAAUCCUCCUGUCUUCCAGAACAUCCCAGCAAUUGCACCAAUCAAUGAAAAUCAACCAACAAGUCAAGGCUUUUUCACUGUCAGAGCUACAGAUGCUGACACAGUGAGUCCAUUCGGAGAUAUCACAUAUUCCUUGGUUGGUGAUGGAACAGCAACCAUUUAUUUCCAAGUAGAUUCUUCCACUGGUGUAGUGAGUCUUAAACAGAGCAUCCAACCUGAUACAGCUUCUACAUACAGGCUAACAUUCAGGGCUACCGAUGGAGGCAACCCUUCUAAGUAUGAUGAGAAAAUUCUAACUGUCAACGUCAAUAGGAAUCUCCUUGCUCCUGAGUUUGUGCAACAGAUCUAUGAGGUUACAAUCUGGGAAAUUCAGGCCUUGGAUACUGUAAUACAAGAAGUUUCUGCACGUGACAAUGACACCAAAGCUCCCCACAACGAAGUAACUUAUGAAAUAGUUGGUGAUACACUUGCUCAGACUUACUUCAGAAUUGACAACGAAGGAAGGAUUUAUGUCAGGAGGCCUCUUACUGAUGACAAUGCUGACACAGGACUCUACACUGUAUCUGUACGAGCCAAUGAUAAAGGAACUCCUCAAAGAUCCAGCAGCACUCUGGCCACAGUGAGAGUGAAUGUUUUAAGAAACAGGAACUGUCCAACAUUUGCAUCUUCUGUUGUCGACAUUCCCAUUGACCAGUCUUCAGUCAGCAGGGUUAUUUAUGAUGCCAAUGCCACUGAUCCAGAUGCAGCAAAUACUCCAUUCAGUACAGUCAGAUACAGUCUCAUUGGAGAUGAAAAUGCCCAAAUAUUCUUUAGAGUUAAUGACCAAACUGGGCAAGUUUCCACAAAUGAGCCCUCAUUGUUCUCGGAUCAGGGAACCAUUUACCAGUUGAGAGUGAGAGCCGAGGAUGCAGUAAAUACAGUCACAAGUUGCUCGGGAACCCUUGUGCUCCGUGUCUCUGUUAACAGAAACUUGAAUUCCCCUCAGUGGAUAAAUGUGAACACACCCAAUAACUAUGUCACAACAAUAUCAGAAACCCACAGUGUCUCCCUAUCUGUGUACAGAAUUCAGGCAGUAGAUGCUGAUGACAAGGUGCCAAACAAUGUUGUCACCUAUGCUAUGACAACAAACUCCCCUAACAGGAACUUGUUCUUUGUUGAUGUGGAUGGCUUUGUUUAUCUGAGAAACAGCCUUGUGGGAAUUACAGGGGACCCAUUCACGGUAAGGUUUGUCGCAACUGAUGGAGAGAAAGAAAUCCAAGAAAAUCAACUCGUCAAUGAGGAAAUUUACAGGGUCAAUGGCAGGGACAAUGAUACUUUUGCUCCAUUCAACGCCUAUUCCUUUGAACUUGUGGGAGAUGGCUCGUCAACGACGUUCUUCCGAGUUUCACCAAAUGGUGCAGUAACAUUGCGACAGUCUAUCUCAUCAGACCCUGCCACCACAUUCCAGCUGCGUGUCCGCGUACAAGAUGGAGGUACUCCUCGAAAACAAGACGAGGGGCUUCUAACAAUCAAAGUGAACAAAAACCUUUUCAAGUCCUGUGAUGACUACCGGCCAAUACAGCAGACGAAUCCUGGAAACCCAGACUGUUUCUCUGCCCCUGGUCACUGUCCUAGCCACCGAUGGAGAUCAGUUUGCACCCAACAACCAGCUGAGGUAUUUCAUAGUGGGUUCCAACACAACUAUAACUGAUUUCUUCAUGGUGAAUGAGGACUCCGGUGCUGUUAUGUUAAGGAGAUCCAUGCUUGAUUAUCCAAACACAGCUACAACGUUUACAGUCAAUUUCCAAGUCAGUGCAGAAGAUAAAGGAAGUGUACCCCGACAAGCCAACAACCCCCAGCUAGUGUCCAUCACUGUGGUCAGAAACACAGCCCCAUUCUUUGAGAAUACAUUCACUUACAAUGCUGAGGUUCAACAGUUUGCACCUGGAGGUGACCCGGUAUUCAAACCUAUAGGAAGAGAUGCCGACAGUGAUAGUCCAUUCAAUGUUUUGACCUACUCUUUGAUUGGUGAUGAUGCUGCUACAACCGUGUUCCAAAUCAAUCCAAACACUGGAGCUAUCUCUACUAGACCAACAACAAAUCUGACUCAAACUAUUGGCAACUUUGUGG